rnacentral:rRNA from 1 species
GACGAACGCUGGCGGCGUGCUUAACACAUGCAAGUCGAACGGAAAGGCCCUGCUUUUGUGGGGUGCUCGAGUGGCGAGCGGGUGAGUAACACGUGAGUAACCUGCCCUUGACUUUGGGAUAACUUCAGGAAACUGGGGCUAAUACCGGAUAGGAGCUCCUGCUGCAUGGUGGGGGUUGGAAAGUUUCGGCGGUUGGGGAUGGACUCGCGGCUUAUCAGCUUGUUGGUGGGGUAGUGGCUUACCAAGGCUUUGACGGGUAGCCGGCCUGAGCGGGUGACCGGCCACAUUGGGACUGAGAUACGGCCCAGACUCCUACGGGAGGCAGCAGUGGGGAAUAUUGCACAAUGGGCGGAAGCCUGAUGCAGCAACGCCGCGUGCGGGAUGACGGCCUUCGGGUUGUAAACCGCUUUCGCCUGUGACGAAGCGUGAGUGACGGUAAUGGGUAAAGAAGCACCGGCUAACUACGUG